rnacentral:rRNA from 1 species
GUGCCAGCCGCCGCGGUAAUACGGAGGGUGCAAGCGUUAUCCGGAUUCACUGGGUUUAAAGGGUGCGUAGGUGGGUUGGUAAGUCAGUGGUGAAAUCUCCAAGCUUAACUUGGAAACUGCCGUUGAUACUAUCAAUCUUGAAUCUCGUGGAGGUAAGCGGAAUAUGUCAUGUAGCGGUGAAAUGCUUAGAUAUGACAUAGAACACCGAUAGCGAAGGCAGCUUGCUACACGAGUAUUGACACUGAGGCACGAAAGCGUGGGGAUCAAACAGGAUUAGAUACCCGGGUAGUCC